rnacentral:piRNA from 2 species
UUCAGUGGCACAAACUCCAGGAGCCAGUGA